UGUACACACCGCCCGUCGCUACUACCGAUUGAGUGGCUCAGUGAGGCCUUCGGACUGGCUUGGGGAGGUUGGCAACGACCACCCUAAGCCGGAAAGUUCGUCAAACUCGGUCAUUUAGAGGAAGUAAAAGUCGUAACAAGGUUUCCGUAGGUGAACCUGCGGAAGGAUCAUUA
rnacentral:rRNA from 1 species